AACGAACGCUGGCGGCAUGCCUAACACAUGCAAGUCGAACGAGACCUUCGGGUCUAGUGGCGCACGGGUGCGUAACGCGUGGGAACCUUCCCUUAGGUUCGGAAUAACUCCCCGAAAGGGGUGCUAAUACCGGAUAAUGUCUUCGGACCAAAGAUUUAUCGCCCUUGGAUGGGCCCGCGUUGGAUUAGCUAGUUGGUAUGGUAAAAGCCUACCAAGGCGACGAUACAUAGCUGGUCUGAGAGGAUGAUCAGCCACACUGGGACUGAGACACGGCCCAGACUCCUACGGGAGGCAGCAGUGGGGAAUAUUGGACAAUGGGCGAAAGCCUGAUCCAGCAAUGCCGCGUGAGUGAUGAAGGCCUUAGGGUUGUAAAGCUCUUUUACCCGGGAUGAUAAUGACAGUACCGGGAGAAUAAGCUCCGGCUAACUCCGUG
rnacentral:rRNA from 1 species